rnacentral:rRNA from 1 species
UACGUAGGUGGCAAGCGUUAUCCGGAUUUACUGGGUGUAAAGGGCGUGUAGGCGGGAAAGCAAGUCAGAUGUGAAAACCAUGGGCUCAAUCUGUGGCCUGCAUUUGAAACUGUUUUUCUUGAGUACUGGAGAGGCAGACGGAAUUCCUAGUGUAGCGGUGAAAUGCGUAGAUAUUAGGAGGAACACCAGUGGCGAAGGCGGCUUUCUGGACUGAAACUGACGCUGAGGCACGAAAGCGUGGGGAGCGAACAGG